UCUGGGUGGCAUGGCUACAUGCCGUUGCUACGGCUUGUAUUUGGCGCAAGCCAGGUGCAGGUCAUGCGUCGGUGUAGUGGUUGUGUAGCCUUUCUGUCGUGUCUGUGGAAACGGGUGCAUUCGAGGGCCUCAGAGACUCGUUUGCAUGCUUCUGGAUGCCUUUAAUUGGGUGUCCGGAGCGGACGACACGUUUACUUUGAACAAAUUUGAGUGCUCAAAGCAGGCCAUAGUGCCUGAAAAAUCUUGCAUGGAAUAAUAAAAUAGGACUUCGGUUCUAUUUUGUUGGUUUUCGGAUCCGAAGUAAUGG
rnacentral:rRNA from 1 species